rnacentral:rRNA from 1 species
GAUGAACGCUGGCGGCGUGCCUAAUACAUGCAAGUCGAGCGAACAGACGAGGAGCUUGCUCCUUUGACGUUAGCGGCGGACGGGUGAGUAACACGUGGGUAACCUACCUAUAAGACUGGGAUAACUUCGGGAAACCGGAGCUAAUACCGGAUAAUAUUUCGAACCGCAUGGUUCGAUAGUGAAAGAUGGCUUUGCUAUCACUUAUAGAUGGACCUGCGCCGUAUUAGCUAGUUGGUAAGGUAACGGCUUACCAAGGCAACGAUACGUAGCCGACCUGAGAGGGUGAUCGGCCACACUGGAACUGAGACACGGUCCAGACUCCUACGGGAGGCAGCAGUAGGGAAUCUUCCGCAAAGGGCGAAAGCCUGACGGAGCAACGCCGCGUGAGUGAUGAAGGUCUUCGGAUCGUAAAACUCUGUUAUUAGGGAAGAACAAACGUGUAAGUAACUGUGCACGUCUUGACGGUACCUAACCAGAAAGCCACGGCUAACUACGUG